CGGCGGACGCUGGAAAUGACGAAUUAAUUCAGGUGGUUUGUGGCGGAGCCGAUUUUUAUCCGUGCCGGAGGAACCCAGCGGAAAAUGGAGGCUGCAAGCAGCAAUUACGUGCUCGGCGUUGGCAAGGAGGAGGAUUCGCUUCGGAGGGGAAAAACCAACACCCAGCAAUUUUUGGCCCAGGUCUCCACCUUGUUUAUUCACCUGAGGACUGAGCGAGUUUUUCCUGCCCUGACCUGGUUUCUCAAGGAGGAUGAGAUGAUUAAACCCAGAUGAUCAAUCCUCUUAUGAGUGGCCCAGCUAUGAGGAACAACCUCAGGAAGAAGAUGCAGCUGAAUUAGUCUCAUUUCUUUGCAAACCCACUGGAUUUGAUGACCUCAAAGGUCUUUUCCAGCCUAAACAACCCCAGAAUUUUGUGACUUUCAAGAUGCAUCCAUCUGGGAGCUUUUUAUUUCCUGGCUGAACCCCAGGUGGUUUCCAUGUGGGCUGAGGACAUCCCUGUGGAUGGGGGCUCCUGCAGAAAUCCUUUUGGGGUUCUCAUUCUAAAUCCCUUUGGAAAAAUCCUUUGCAAUGCUGACCUCUGCAGGCUGAGGGACUGCUGAAAACCCCGGGCAGCAAUAACCUAAAUAAUGCAUGAACCAGGUGUUUUACUGCUGCUGGCUGUGGGUAGGAAAAGCCUAUCAUAAAAUAAAAAAAAACUUAUAAAUAAUGCAUUAAAA